CCCUCAGCUUGACACAAGCUGCCGAGCUCUCAGCCUCGACCGACGGCUCAUCCGUCAACAGCCUGUGUGAACGAGCCGGAGAACGCAGCUUUUCUCUCUCUCUCUUUCUCUCUCUGUGUGUGUUUCUCUUUCUCUAGCCCUCCCCGCCUGCCUCCCUCUUUCCCCGCUGUCUCUCUCUCUUCCGCUCAGCGCAAUGACAGUCGAUGUGUCUUCACCUUGCGAUGCUUCCCGCUGCUGUGAACGCUGUAACAAACCGAGACCACCCUGACCUCUGUGAGGGAGACGGAGACAGACGCUGUGCUGCCACCUGAGAGAAAAACAUGCUUCCUGUGAUUCUGUGCAAGUCAAUUUCAAUGGCUGGCUUAUGUAAAGCUGACUGUGUGUAGCCAAGAUAUUGUUGCAGACUGUUGAUGGAAACAGUCUUGAACCAGCCUGAUAACACAGCUGAACGUACAAGAAACAUCCUUGAGUCUUUAGCACAGAUGGUCGUUUGUGUCUAUUGUUUUCCUGGUUUAGCUUUCUACAGGUCGGAUAUCAGCUCGUAAUAACUUAGGGCGACCUCACCUCUAGGCAUCAGGUCGCCAUCCAUAUCUGGAGACAAAUACAAGGCUUUCUUUGACGCACACACUAAGGCCAUCCAUAUCUGGAAGUAGAUACUAUGUUUCUUUGACGCAUGUAUUUAGAAUUGUCUAUUUCUGUUGUAACCAAUGAGAACUGUUUACCUGGAUCCCACCUUUUCUGGACUUGUGUAAAGAGUAUAAUUGUUCGAUUGCUGUGAUUGUAAGUCAGAUCGGCCUGCGAGCUCAUCCGAGUGUGAAGCCCUUCUGCCAUAGAACUGCAAACUAUCUUCAGUAAAUUUUUCAUUUUUAAUUGCA